CGUGUCGUGAGAUGUUGGGUUAAGUCCCGUAACGAGCGCAACCCUUGUCCUUAGUUACCAGCACAUCAUGGUGGGCACUCUAAGGAGACUGCCGGUGACAAACCGGAGGAAGGUGGGGAUGACGUCAAGACAUCAUGGCCCUUACGGCCAGGGCUACACACGUGCUACAAUGGUCGGUACAAAGGGUUGCCAAGCCGCGAGGUGGAGCUAAUCCCAUAAAACCGAUCGUAGUCCGGAUCGCAGUCUGCAACUCGACUGCGUGAAGUCGGAAUCGCUGGUAAUCGUGAAUCAGAAUGUCACGGUGAAUACGUUCCCGGGCCUU
rnacentral:rRNA from 1 species